AACGAACGCUGGCGGCAUGCCUAACACAUGCAAGUCGAACGAGACCUUCGGGUCUAGUGGCGCACGGGUGCGUAACGCGUGGGAACCUGCCCUUAGGUUCGGAAUAACUCCCCGAAAGGGGUGCUAAUACCGGAUAAUGUCUUCGGACCAAAGAUUUAUCGCCUUUGGAUGGGCCCGCGUUGGAUUAGCUAGUUGGUAGGGUAAAAGCCUACCAAGGGGACGAUCCAUAGCUGGUCUGAGAGGAUGAUCAGCCACACUGGGACUGAGACACGGCCCAGACUCCUACGGGAGGCAGCAGUGGGGAAUAUUGGACAAUGGGCGAAAGCCUGAUCCAGCAAUGCCGCGUGAGUGAUGAAGGCCUUAGGGUUGUAAAGCUCCUUUACCCGGGAUGAUAAUGACAGUACCGGGAGAAUAAGCUCCGGCUAACUCCGUG
rnacentral:rRNA from 1 species